rnacentral:rRNA from 1 species
CCUACGGGAGGCAGCAGUGGGGAAUUUUGGACAAUGGGCGAAAGCCUGAUCCAGCCAUUCCGCGUGCAGGAUGAGGGCCCUCGGGUUGUAAACUGCUUUUGUACAGAACGAAAAGGUUUCUACUAAUACUAGGAGCUCAUGACGGUACUGUAAGAAUAAGCACCGGCUAACUACGUGCCAGCAGCCGCGGUAAUACGUAGGGUGCAAGCGUUAAUCGGAAUUACUGGGCGUAAAGCGUGCGCAGGCGGUUAUAUAAGUCAGAUGUGAAAUCCCCGGGCUCAACCUGGGAACUGCAUUUGAGACUGUAUAGCUAGAGUACGGUAGAGGGGGAUGGAAUUCCGCGUGUAGCAGUGAAAUGCGUAGAUAUGCGGAGGAACACCGAUGGCGAAGGCAAUCCCCUGGACCUGUACUGACGCUCAUGCACGAAAGCGUGGGGAGCAAACAGGAUUAGAUACCCUGGUAGUCCACGCCCUAAACGAUGUCAACUGGUUGUUGGGUCUUAACUGACUCAGUAACGAAGCUAACGCGUGAAGUUGACCGCCUGGGGAGUACGGCCGCAAGGUUGAAACUUAAAGGAAUUGACGG